AAAUGAAUAGACGGGGGCCCGCACAAGCGGUGGAGCAUGUGGUUUAAUUCGAUGCAACGCGAAGAACCUUACCAUCCCUUGACAUGUAGAGAAGUUUCCAGAGAUGGAUUCGUGCCUUCGGGAACUCUAACACAGGUGCUGCAUGGCUGUCGUCAGCUCGUGUCGUGAGAUGUUGGGUUAAGUCCCGCAACGAGCGCAACCCUUAUCAUUAGUUGCUACCAUUAAGUUGAGAACUCUAAUGAGACUGCCGGUGAUAAACCGGAGGAAGGCGGGGACGACGUCAAGUCAUCAUGGCCCUUAUGGGAUGGGCUACACACGUGCUACAAUGGGAAGUACAAAGAGUUGCUAACUUGCGAAAGUGUGCUAAUCUCAAAAAACUUCUCGUAGUCCGGAUUGGAGUCUGCAACUCGACUCCAUGAAGUCGGAAUCGCUAGUAAUCGUGAAUCAGAAUGUCACGGUGAAUACGUUCCCGGGCCUUGUACACACCGCCCGU
rnacentral:rRNA from 1 species